GAUGAACGCUGGCGGCGUGCCUAAUACAUGCAAGUCGAGCGAACAGACGAGGAGCUUGCUCCUCUGACGUUAGCGGCGGACGGGUGAGUAACACGUGGAUAACCUACCUAUAAGACUGGGAUAACUUCGGGAAACCGGAGCUAAUACCGGAUAAUAUAUUGAACCGCAUGGUUCAAUAGUGAAAGACGGUUUUGCUGUCACUUAUAGAUGUAUCCGCGCCGCAUUAGCUAGUUGGUAAGGUAACGGCUUACCAAGGCAACGAUGCGUAGCCGACCUGAGAGGGUGAUCGGCCACACUGGAACUGAGACACGGUCCAGACUCCUACGGGAGGCAGCAGUAGGGAAUCUUCCGCAAUGGGCGAAAGCCUGACGGAGCAACGCCGCGUGAGUGAUGAAGGUCUUCGGAUCGUAAAACUCUGUUAUUAGGGAAGAACAAAUGUGUAAGUAACUAUGCACGUAUUGACGGUACCUAAUCAGAAAGCCACGGCUAACUACGUG
rnacentral:rRNA from 1 species